AAUGAAGAAACCUUUUUAUUAUGUGUAGGUUAUGUGUGCAUUACUUUCCAAAAUUGGGGCUGCCUGGUUAACUCAUAAAUACGUAACAUGGGAUUUUUAUUUUACAAAAAUCAGUGUUUUUAUAUGUAUAUAUAUUCGAAAGCAGGAGAGAUAAAUGUGCAAGUUUCCAGAGCUGUUUCUGAGCUGCAAGGCGAAAUCAAAACGCCGUCAGAGUGGGCGGGGUUUAGGCAGUCAAAGCUAGAGUCUGUUAGAAAAAAGCGCGAAAGAAGCAUUUGAAUUUCUGUUUCGUCGUCAGUGACAGAAAAGCUAAGUUAAUAGUCGAAUUUACGUUUUCGUAACAGCCUUUAACGUUAAGCUCCGUUAAUAAGUCUAGUAUUUUUCAAAUGUGCGUUUCUUUAUACACGGCUUUGUCUUGUGGUUGUAACGUUAUUUAUUUUGUUUUCGUCUUUGUGUUGAUAUCUUUCACUUUUUGCCUGAGAGGAAUUCAGCGAAAACGUUUCCGUGAGAGCGCCGACGGAGACGUUUUUACAGCCUUUAAACGUUAUUAGUAUUAGUUAGCCAACAGUUUACCUAGUUAUCGGUAGCUAGCUAGCCAGGAGAAUUUUUUUCCCCCACCCGUUGCCUCAGCCGGAGUUUCCAUCUUGGGAUCGCGGAUCCUUCACCAACUGCUAAUGGGGAUUCGGGACUUCCAGAAAAUCAUUAGUUACCUUCUUUCGAGUGACUCUUUAUCUUUGCUGGCAUAGGAGACUAACGGUACCACUCCCUCAGAUGUAGAGGCCCAGCUGUCUCCUCCCUAUCACUCCAAGGAUUAUCAUGCUUGGAGAGACUGCAAAAAAAUGGAUGCUGUCGAUCAAGGGGAGGGUCGUAACCCCACCUGGUGCUCACAUGGUGGACUUCACCACUGCCUUGGCCGCUCUCUUCGCCUGUUACGUAUUCAACCUACAGUAUUAGGUGGAAGCCAGCACAACACUGGAGUUUGAUCAGAGGGCUCCAAAUAGGAUUCUCUGUCUCCAAGGUCAAGGCAUGCAAGAGGCCAUAGACCUUUGCCAAGUGGCAGGGGAAGUUUAUUUUC